GACAGAGGUGCAAACGUUGUUCGGAAUUACUGGGCGUAAAGCGAGUGUAGGCGGUUCGAUAAGUCGGAUGUGAAAGCCCGGGCAACCCGGGAAGUGCACUCGAUACUGUCGAGCUAGAGUAUCGGAGAGGUUGGUGGGAAUUCUCGGUGUAGAGGUGAAAUUCGUAGAUAUCGAGAGGAACACCGGUGGCGAAGGCGGCCAACUGGGACGAAAUACUGACUUGGAGAACUCGAAAAAGCGUGGGGGGAG
rnacentral:rRNA from 1 species